rnacentral:rRNA from 1 species
CCUACGGGUGGCAGCAGUGAGGAAUAUUGGUCAAUGGACGCAAGUCUGAACCAGCCAUGCCGCGUGCAGGAAGACGGCUCUAUGAGUUGUAAACUGCUUUUGUACGAGGGUAAACGCAGAUACGUGUAUCUGUCUGAAAGUAUCGUACGAAUAAGGAGCGGCUAACUCCGGGCCAGCAGCCGCGGUAAUACGGAGGAUUCAAGCGUUAUCCGGAUUUAUUGGGGUUAAAGGGUGCGUAGGCGGUCGGAUAAGUUAGAGGUGAAAUCCCGAGGCUCAACUUCGGAAUUGCCUCUGAUACUGUUCGGCGAGAGAGUAGUUGCGGUAGGCGGAAUGUAUGGUGUAGUGGUGAAAUGCUUAGAGAUCAUACAGAACACCGAUUGCGAAGGCAGCUUACCAAGCUACUUCUGACGUUGAGGCACGAAAGCGUGGGGAGCAAACAGGAUUAGAGACCCGAGUAGUC